UACGUAGGGUCCAAGCGUUAUCCGGAAUCACUGGGCGUAAAGCGUGCGUAGGUGGAUUGUUAAGUGCGGUGCGAAAUCCUAUGGCUCAACCAUAUGGACUGUAUCGCAUACUGGCUAUCUAGAGGACAUGAGAGGCAAGUGGAAUUACCGGUGUAGCAGUGAAAUGCGUAGAUAUCGGUAGGAACACCAAUGGCGAAGGCAGCUUGCUGGCAUGUAUCUGACGCUAAGGCACGAAAGCGUGGGGAGCGAACAGG
rnacentral:rRNA from 1 species